rnacentral:lncRNA from 1 species
AAGACAGGGCUGGCUUCUCUGUGUAGCCCCAGAUGUCCUGGCACUCACUCUGUAGAUCAGGCUGGCCUCCAUCUCGCAUAGAUCCACAUGUCUCCAUACUGGGAUUACAGGCAUGCAUCACCAUGGCCUGGCUAGGCUUUCAAGUGGGGAACGCUGAUCAUAAAGCUGGAAAUGAAAGCCGUCCGCAUUGAAAACAAAAGGUGGGUUCUGUUGAGGGAAGUUCUUACAACCACGGACUGGUGAAUAGUAUGCUGGAGACUUCCUUCAAACUCUCUGAGGCUCCACACAUGGGCUAAAUGGGAGUAAUGCUGUAGAGGGGAAAGGAGGUGGCACUCAAAGUCACCUAGUUCCUACUGUUGCAAGGCUCAGACUUUGUUACUUCACUGCUUUCAGGGAGAGGGGAAGGGAGGUGACGUACAGCGGCAAAACCUAAAAAUGUAUUUUAUUUUGAAGUUGUGCUUUGGAUUUUUCCCAAUCCAGCAUUGGCUGAGUGAGUCUUAGGUUCGCACAAAGCAUCUUCAAGCAUACAUACAAUAUUCCAGUUAUCAACACCAUUUUAAAGAACAUACCAUUUUACACAAAUGUGACAUACAAAUCAGACGCCACAACACUGCAGUUCCCUGGAAGAUCUAAGUUCUCUUCUGAACUGAAGUCCAUGCACACCAGCCCUUCCAGUGGUCUGUUCAUCCUGGUACUGGAAGGAUUUCUCAUCUCCUUGGGGAUAAAUGAGGGUGGCCUGAGGAGGCUGGCAGAGACCAGCAUUUCCAGUUUCUAAGCUGCUGGUGGCAAACUCCUCUACUUUCCAAACUGGGAUGCUGGUAGCCCCACCCACUUUUCUUCCCCAGAGACUUAAGUCCACACCAGGGAAAGGAUCCAUGCCACGAGGGGCAGAGCAGGGCUCUUGGAAACAUCAUGCUGGUUUCAGGCAAGCCUAUUUGAGGAAGGCUGGUUGCCUAAGGCCUGGGGUGGCCGGCUCCUUUUGGCUUUUGGUUGUGAAAUCACAGUGUGCAACCUCAAUUCCAGUUGAAGUGAGCUCUGCUGCGGAGGACUCUCCUCCUUCUGGUUCCUACUCCUUCUAACAGGACCGUCUCACAGGCGUCAGAAGCACCAGAGAUAAGGAAGACAGCUAGGCUCCCAGAGCUGGGGUUAGUAGGGAACCACUUGUACACUGUCCAGUUCAUUAUGCAAAUCAGCAGAUGGACAUCGGACCAAAGGGAUGAAAAAACACAAAUAAUGUACAGGAUUAAGAGAGAAGGCAAGAAGGAAAGUACAGGCCCAAAGCAUGGUCUUCAAGAACCUUUGCUUUUACCUUCUUAGAGGGUAGUGCCUGGAGAGAGGAUGUAGGGCAGGGUGGAAACUCUGCUCACUUAGGUUAGGAGGAAUGUAAAAAGGGAAGGGUGGGGCUUCUUAGUCAUCAAGGAAACGGAUCCUUGGGUCUGGAAGCCCCUAUUGGCUCAGGAGCAGUACAAGCCCAGGUCAGUAAAAAGCACAGCAAGGAUCAGACAUCCAAAGGACCAAGGGGUGCCCCAUGCAGUCAGACUCACACCACUCAAGCUCUCUCUGCUCUAGCUCAGGGGGCAGUCUUCCUGGUGCUGCAAGUUACUCUUCUCGUUAGUGACUCCUUCAAGCUCCCCAUUCCCUUCACUCAGAGAGAGGCAUCCACCACUUUCUACAGAUUCAACUGCCAGCUUCACAAGUUGGUCCAAAAGGAUCAUUUCUAGCCCAAAGCUAAGAACACUCAGAGAUUCCAACCCAAAUGACAAACCCAUCUCUCUUGAACUAUAGAAAACAAUACAGUUAAAAUAAAAGCAUAGCAUUCAAGCCAGGAAACAGAGAAUGAGCCUGAGCGGCAGGGAGCUGUUGAAACACAUGAUCCCAUGGUGUGAUUUCCUAGCUCUGGUGCUCCUGGGGAAGCACGAUGUAAAAGAGCCAGUGUUUCAAGCACCAGGCUUGUAGGUUGGGAGAGCAUCUAACGGUAGAAAAAGGUCAAAGGCAGGACCCAAUGUGACACAUUCAGUUUUUCCCUUUUUUAAGAUUCUGGUUUUGGGAAAACAGUUUUGAGUUGGUGGAGGUCAAAGUUCCCUUAGUCACCCUUGUUUGGAU